rnacentral:rRNA from 1 species
GUGAAGCGGCAAGAGCUCAAAUUUGAAAGCUGGCUCCUUCGGAGUCCGCAUUGUAAUUUGCAGAGGAUGCUUUGGGUGCGGCCCCCGUCUAAGUGCCCUGGAACGGGCCGUCAGAGAGGGUGAGAAUCCCGUCUUGGGCGGGGUGUCCGUGCCCGUGUAAAGCUCCUUCGACGAGUCGAGUUGUUUGGGAAUGCAGCUCUAAAUGGGUGGUAAAUUUCAUCUAAAGCUAAAUACUGGCCGGAGACCGAUAGCGCACAAGUAGAGUGAUCGAAAGAUGAAAAGCACUUUGAAAAGAGAGUUAAACAGCACGUGAAAUUGUUGAAAGGGAAGCGCUUGCGACCAGACUCGCCCGCGGGGUUCAGCCGGCAUUCGUGCCGGUGUACUUCCCCGUGGGCGGGCCAGCGUCGGUUUGGGCGGCCGGUCAAAGGCCCCUGGAAUGUAGUACCCUCCGGGGUACCUUAUAGCCAGGGGUGCAAUGCGGCCAGCCUGGACCGAGGAACGCGCUUCGGCACGGACGCUGGCAUAAUGGUCGUAAACGACCCGUCUUGAAACACGGACCAAGGAGUCUAACAUCUACGCGAGUGUUCGGGUGUCAAACCCGUGCGCGCAGUGAAAGCGAACGGAGGUGGGAGCCCCCUCGCGGGGCGCACCAUCGACCGAUCCUGAUGUCUUCGGAUGGAUUUGAGUAAGAGCGUAAAUGUGGGGACCCGAAAGAUGGUGAACUAUGCCUGAAUAGGGCGAAGCCAGAGGAAACUCUGGUGGAGGCUCGCAGCGGUUCUGACGUGCAAAUCGAUCGUCAAAUUUGGGUAUAGGGGCGAAAGACUAAUCGAAC